ACAUCCUAUUUAAACAUUUCGUGCAAUUAUAAACUAUUUACACCCUCUUCUGUUCGAAACAAAUUGUGAAAAAAUGUUAAAUAGUAUGUAUUUAAAAGUUUCAAAAAAAUACCCUCCAUAAAUUACUGUUAUAUUUUCAGAGAAAUAUAGACUGAUUAUAAAUACAACAAAAACCACCAUCAACUUAAAUAUUAAAUUACACAAACAUUACGA